GGGGAUGAACGGUCUCGACGGGAGAGGCUGGUCCCGGAUGGCGAGCCGAGAGGCGCCGACCUCGUAAAAUCAGCGCAAAAAAUUAAGUGCCAACCGCACUCAGUAUGCUGCUCUUCCUCUGGCUGCCUAGUCAGCGGAAAGCGCACCUGACCUCCUGAAGAGGUCACGUCCACCCCUCCCGCUGGCCGACCGGUGAGGGUGUGGGCGACACAAAGUCGGCCUGCCAUCUGAGAGGCCGCGGCUCAGAUGAAAGACCAUAGCGGCUGGUCAACCGGUGCUUUGGGUCACCUGGAACCCGGUUGACAAGAGGCACAGGUGACUACGCUCGUAGAGGUCCGAGGACCUAAUCUUUCGGACGCGGGUUCGAUUCCCGCCAUCUCCACCA
rnacentral:tmRNA from 1 species